CACGUGAUUAAUAAAUGAGCCUUAAGAUCUACGAACCUGUAACAUUAAAUAAGCUCGGAGUACUGUGUGUCCAAAAUACGUUCCCACCAUAAAAACUUUGUGGGAGCCUGUAAUUUAUUCAGGUAAAGAAAAAUAUCAUGCAAGCAAUUUUAUCUUUCUUUCCUUCAUGUGCCCCCCCUCUCUGCCUACUAUCUUAGAGAGAAAUUCUCAUCUGCUAGAUAUGCAUACAUACAUCUAAAUGCAAGCAAUUCAAUAUAUCUACACCAACUUGUAUGAAAGAAUUUAUCAGAUUCUUAGAGCAUCGGGAUCACGACAGACAACUCAUUGAAAGACCAGAAAAGUCAAACCAUGAUCUGUAAAUGACACAAGCAAGGCUACCUGUCCUUGGGCUCUGUAGUCAUUGUAAGGUCGAAGCAAAUCAUCGCCAGUCAUAGCACAAGGAAGCCCAACUGACUGGCUGGGCAGCUGCACCUGUUUUUCCUUUUCCAACUCCCUGAACAAAACCUAAACUUUUUGCUUCUUCAGUAGGCUUUGCUAGAAUGCCAGUAACUCCUCUAAACAGGCCUUUUUCUAGCGCUCCACCUCCCUCCCUAAUGACAUCACCAAGGUCCUCGACAACCUUG